rnacentral:lncRNA from 1 species
UUUAAUUCAAUUAAUCAGCUUAAAUUACAUAACAAAAGAUUAACCCAUUCUGAAAUUAAUUUCCAGUAAUUCUAAAAUCAGACUAUUAAUUAAUUAAAUAGUCUAAUUAAUUAAUUAUAACUAAUAAAUAAAUACACCAAAUAUUUUGUAAUCAUUUUAAAAUAAUUUUUAAAGUCUAAAUAAAAUUAUUUUGAGCCGAACUUCUGCACGUCCGGAAACACCGAGUCUGAAAGCCGGUACCAUCAACAGUAUCAAAUUUCGAAUCCGAAAGUGCAAAAGCUUGAGCUGCGGGAAGUACAGAUAUACAAACUUUUCACCUGAAGCUCGCUGGAAGUCACCGGAUCGAGGCCGAAAGGUUUCGGCUCCGAUGAGACUCACCCACUACUGUUGGCGGAGGAGAAUCGACGGGGGAGGGCUGCCUUGAGGUUUUCGGGGUCCAGGAGUCCGUUUCCAGCGUCAAAUCGGUGAAAGGAAACCAGCAAGAGGCUGCUUCGGCAGCGGCAGCAGGGGAGGAAACUGCCUCCUCGCGAGCAGCUCCUCCUCGACGGCUGGAGGCUGUGCGGAUAACGGCGACGAGUUGGCGACGACGAGGGAGCCCACGACAGGCGAGGAAUGAAAGGCGACAAGGGGAAAAGCGACUGAAAAAAGGUGCAGGGGAAGAGGGAGGUGGCGUCGCCAGAUAGGAGAGAAGGAGAGGAAGAAGAUGUUGCCGACAAAGAGGAAGGGAGAAGAAGCGGCGGCGGUAGCGAAAAUGGGAGGGAGUGACGGAGAAGGAGGAAGAGGGUGACGGGGAGAGAGGAGAAGAAGGGGAGGGAAAAAAAUUUUGUUAUGC